AUACGUAGGUGACAAGCGUUAUCCGGAUUUACUGGGCGUAAAGGGUGCGUAGGCGGUUUGCUAAGCGGGAGGUGAAAUGCCGGCGCUCAACGUCGGAAGUGCCUCCCGAACUGGUGGACUUGAAUGACUCUGCCGUGGGAGGAAUGUGUAGUGUAGCGGUGAAAUGCUUAGAGAUUACACAGAACACCGAUUGCGAAGGCACCUCACGAAGGGUUGAUUGACGCUGAGGCACGAAAGCGUGGGGAUCAAACAGGAUUAGAUACCCUGGUAGUCCACGCAGUAAACGAUGAUGGCUAACCGCUGGGCUUAUCAGUUCAGUGGCCAAGCGAAAGCGAUAAGCCAUCCACCUGGGGAGUACGACCGCAAGGUUGAAACUCAAAUGAAUCGACGGGG
rnacentral:rRNA from 1 species